rnacentral:tRNA from 1 species
ACCUGGGUGGCUCAGUCGAUUGAGCGUCCGAUUUCGGCUCAGGUCAUGAUCUCACGGUUCGUGGGUUUGAGCCCCGCCUCAGGCU